ACGCGAGGAACCUUACCAGGUCUUGACAUCCCACUGACUGCUAUGGAGACAUAGCUUUCCCUUCGGGGACAGUGGUGACAGGUGGUGCAUGGUUGUCGUCAGCUCGUGUCGUGAGAUGUUGGGUUAAGUCCCGCAACGAGCGCAACCCUUGAUCUUAGUUGCCAGCAUUAAGUUGGGCACUCUAAGGUGACUGCCGGUGACAAACCGGAGGAAGGUGGGGAUGACGUCAAAUCAUCAUGCCCCUUAUGACCUGGGCUACACACGUGCUACAAUGGAUAGAACAAAGGGCAGCGAAGCCGCGAGGUCAAGCAAAUCCCAUAAAUCUAUUCUCAGUUCGGAUUGUAGGCUGCAACUCGCCUACAUGAAGCCGGAAUCGCUAGUAAUCGCGGAUCAGCAUGCCGCGGUGAAUACGUUCCCGGGCCUUGCACUCACCGCCCGU
rnacentral:rRNA from 1 species